CUCUCGGCAAAUUAUCCUCAUAAGUUUGACGAUAAGAGGAACCACUUAUGAUCAAAGCUUAAUAUCUUUCCUUUAUCUAAGCUACGCUAAUAAGGGUUAGAUAUUAGGCUUCCAUAGGGUGGUGUCACAAAAUCGGAGGCCACGACUGUUUACUAAAAACACAAUUCAGAGCAAUGAUGCAAAUCAUAGUAUUCUGGAUGAAAUUUGCCCGAUGCCAUUAACAUAAAAGAGGUAAUGGGAUAACUGUUACUAAUUGAAAGUCUGGUUAAUAGCGGUCUUAACUAUGAGGAUCCUAAGGUAGCAAAAUCAGUUGGCCAUUAAAUGUGGUCUGGUAUCAAUAGUGUAACGAUGGUCUCACUGUCUCUACAACUUGCUCAGUGAAAUUGAAUUAUCCGUGCAGAUGCGGAUUGCCUCCAGG
rnacentral:rRNA from 1 species